AAAAUAUUACUAAAAUCACUAAACUGGCCACAUCCCGCUAAGAAUUUCAAACGGGGAAAGACGUUUGAUAAUUCCAAAUUCAAUUUUCGUUCAAUCAUGUGAUCAAAUUGUUUCAUCAUUUUGGUCACAUGACUUCACGAUUUGACAGUGCUAAUUAUUCCCAGUCAACUUCGAAACAACUCAGUAUAUUACAAGAUGGAGAUCAUAUUUUCGCUAAAAGGGAGAUCAUAUUAUAAGAUAGAUAGUGGAUAGAUUGUUCAUUACGAUUAUGGAACUUUAAAAUGAACAUAAAACGAAUAUUUCAUAUAUUCUGUUGCAUUGACCUUCGUUUAGAUGUUUGUCACCUUGUUUACGUUUGAAUAACUUGGCGGCUAUUAGUAAAACAAGGAACACCGGAACAACGGAACACCGGAACACCGGAACAGCAUCAUUCCGGAACACGGAACACCGG